CCAUACCCCAUCUUGGCCAGGGCCCACGCCGAGUUGCUGAGGUCUUGCGGGUUAAAGCCUGCAAAGCCCCGCCGCACACCCUCUGCAGCCACAGCCGACGCCAGCAGCUCGGACUGCUUGCCUCGCAGCUGCAGCCCCUCCAGCGCCAGCAAGAUGUUGGACAGGUGUCUCGGAAUGAACGCUGCAGCUUCCUUCGGGGUUCGCAGCUGCCGCAGCGCCGCACCGCACAGCGCCUUAAGCACUGCCCGAAACUCCGGUCUGGUGCAGCCCAAAGCCUCCAGCGCCCACAGGCUGUUGGCCAGGUCUUGCGCAUUCAUGUCCGGGGCAAGGGCUGCGGCCGCCUCCGCCAGCGGCAGCAGGAGUGCUGAGUCGCGGUACCCCAGCUUGGCGCACGCCCACAGGCUGUUAGAAACACCCUGGGCGGUGAAGCCGUGCCCCCUCGCCGCACGCAGCCGCGAGGCCACAGCGCUCGCCAGCGCUUUCAGAUGCGGCGAUGAGGUGGGAUCCCAGCCCAAGCCCCGCCGCUGCUGAUCCUCCCGCAGCUUGCCCAGGGCAUACAGUGAGUUCGCCAGGGCCUGGGGAGUGGCACUAUCCAGCAACACCGGAUCCACCAGCCGCUGCAGCAGUGCCGGCGCCAGCUGUGACUCCACACGCCCGUCGCUGGCAGCCCCGGCCUUCGCCAGAGCCAACAGCGGAAGGCUGCAGCCGGCCGGCUGCCGGAUGCGUGGGACGAGCGGAAGGAGAGCAGGCGCAAGGGCCGCAAUGAUGUUGGCACGGGCCGCGGCUGUGGCGGUGGGCCCGCCGGCGCGUGCUGACUCUAGCUGCAGGGGGGGGGGCGGGGGGGCGGGGGGGCAGUGGGAAAGGACGAUGCCCCGAUCACUCACUGUGGCGGUGAAAAGCAAGCUUGGAUCAGCCCCACCGUCAUCAUGCAACGCAUCCCUAAGCAGUACCGUGUGAGCUUUGGUAAGUGCUAAGGAGGUGCGUGUGUUGUUGGCGUUGUCAGUGCCCGCACUGCAAUGCAGGAAGGCCCGCACGUGCUUGCAGGCAAGCCCGACCCCUGCCCCUGCCCCUCCUCUUCUUAUUGCCCGCUAGCUAGUCCAACCUCCCACCUUGCCACAACGGCCGAAGGCAGCUGACAUGGUGCUCACGUCUUGCCGCUCGCACCACACCGCCAGCCGCUGAUCAAUGACUCCUUGCAGCUCCUCCAGAGUCGCAUACCCGAUCAUCACGUCUUCGGGGUCACGCGGCCUACCGCCACCACCACUCCUGCCACCACCACCGCCCGUCCUUCCACUGCCACGCCCGCUGCCGCCGGCCCAAUGGCCUCCGUCUGCCCUGCCCCUGCCCGCCCUUCCGCCACCGUCACUGCUACUGCGGCUGCCGCUGAUGCCGCCAUGUCCGCUGCUGCUGUUGUCACUGCUCCUGCCACUGCUCCUGUGACUGGUGCCGCCACUGCCGUACCUCCCUGCAGCCGCCAGCACCUGCUGCUGCGCGCGCCGCCCCGGCUGCAGGAGACAGCUGCGCGCCCCGGCUGCUGCAGGUGCGGCAGUGGCGGGCGCUGGUGCGGCUUGACGGGCCCAGGCGGCUAGCGGCAGUAGCUGCCGCAGACCGCCGCCAGCCCCUGUGGCAGCAGGUGCGGUGGCGGCAAGGCGGGGGCCGCCGCCGCUGAGCACUGCCGCCGCCGGGCCGCUGGUUGCGGAGCUGCACGCCAGGCCGCGGGCCACACGGCCGGCGGUCGCCGAGGGGCCGAGGCGCCCGGCGGUCCGAGCGGCGCGAGGCUGGGUCAGCCGUAUGCCGCAUGGCCAAAGCUCGAGCCCUAUGUGUGCUGAUGCUGGAGCAUUGUAGCUUCUGCGUAAGCCAACUGCGCUGCCGUGCGCGAACUGUAACAUUUUAGUCUCUGGCUGAGGCCCACAGUGCCACGAGCAAUGACUGAAGUGCUAGCUGAUAUCAUACAUGGAAAUGCCGACAAAUGGUCCGAAUAAAGGAACAACGGGCCAAUCCGGUGCAGUCAAACGAAGCUUGCGUGAGCUCUGUUAAACAAACUCUGACACAAAAAGGCACAAGGGCAUUUGGCAUAACGAUGUAUAAGCUGGGGAAUAAAGCUGUGAGACUGAAUCCGCGGCUCGCAUGCGACCUCACUCCUGGCUGACAUACGCACGCCACACGGCCCCGCUGAUGCCCCAGGCUGUCAGCGCCGCCCCUUCCGCCUCCCUCACCGUGAGAGGUUGUGGGUGGUUGGGGGCUUGGUGUGUGGGCAGGACGCACGUGUGGGCGACCGUUCUAGUGCCUGGACGCUUGCGCCCUGGUUAGUGCGUGCGCUGUGCGUGUGACCGUGUGUGCUGCGGCCUGGACGAUUCCCGGCACUCCGGUGCCUAGGCUUGUGGCGUUGAGGCACAGCGGUGGGGCUCUGGCGGGUUGAGGCUUGGCUAGGACUCACUGUGCGCGGAGUCACACGGACUUUGACCGCGGGAGGGUUUGCAGCAAAGUCGGGGUUGGUGGAGUCAAGUUGGGCCCUGAUAGCAUGUGAUGGCUCGGCGUCUUCGGGUGCUGGGACUGUCCCCUCUGUACCAUCCGCAUUCUUCCGCCCCCGGGGGCGAGGUCGCUUUAUGCUCAUGAACUUGAUGUUAGCCUCAGUGCUGGCUGUGCUGCCUCCACACAUCUAGGAGGAAUACCGAUGGGCAUGAACCCCACCACAGACAUGCUGCACCUCGUAUUGUCAGCCAACCGGGCCAAUCUAAGGCCUGCUACACGCACUGCAAUCCCCAAGCUUCCACCGCUGCCUCCGCCCCCUCCUCCGCCUGUCCCCCAGCGUCACGCCUGCUCGCCACGUCAGCCGCCACCAACACAGAGACACACACACGCCCCGGGCCACAGCCACUGCCACCGCAGACCCGUGACCCUGCGCACCUACACACAAAACACAUACAGCAUGCCGCAAACUUGGUGCCUUUGACGCGCCGUGUGUGCACGUGUCAAUACCUAGCUGGUAUGUGUGCGCUGACUCCUCUCAUGCCACGCCCCUCACUACACCCCAUGUACGGCCACCCAUGGGCCUCACGGCCGCUCACCUGCCUGCCGGUCAACACGGAUGCCUACCGUACUGGGCAUCGCACCAAAUACGCACCACACAAAGCCAAAGCUCGCCGUUACGUCGCGCCCUAGCAUGUUGCACUCAGUGCUCCAUAUACCCACGCAUAUGCUUGGCCAGUACACAAGGAGUAACGGAACGCAAAUCACAAGACGUGUGCAUGUUUGUGCCGAAUUCAUUUACCCCAUUGACUGCUCCGCCCCCUUUCGGUCACUCGAUGCUGCAAGGCUUCUGUGCCGCGCGCCUGCCGGUCCCCACCGCCUGCCCCCGCCUGCUGCCCGCGGGCAGGCCCCCGCCGCUGCCAUCACCACCACCACCACAUUCUACAGCUGCUGCCGACGAGUCCGCCUCCCCGGCCACCACCGACAAUCGCUUCUCAGAGACCGCGGCUGGCACCACCACCGCCCCGGGGUCACUGCCGCCGCCGCCGCCACCGCCGCCUGCUGCCGGAGCCGCCGCCGCUUUCCGCUCAGUCCGCUUCCCACCCGCGGCCCGCCUGGGUGGCGCUGCCGCCUGCACCUGCUCCGGCGGCGGGGCCUCAACCGGUGGAGCAGGAGAAGGCGAGCCCGCCUGGCUGCUGCGGCUACGGCUUUGGCUGCUGCUGCGGCGCGCCCGGGGCGCUGACACGCGCUGCUGCUGUGGUGGUGGAGGCUGCGGCGCCAGAGGAGUUCCGUUUCCUCCGCCCUCGCCAGCACCGCCACCAGCGCCACUGCUGGGAAGCCGCUGCGCCUUUUCCGCUGAUUGCUGCCGGGCAGGGGCCGCCACCUCAGCCUCCGCCGGUACCGUCCUUGCAGCUGCUGUUGCGCCCGAGGCCUCUCCCGCCCCACCGCCGCCGGCCGCCUCCUGCUUUGGAGCCUUUCUGCGGACAACGAGGAUGCGUCGUUUCUGGCUGCUGCUAGCGGUAGUGGUGGUGGUGGCGGUGGUGCUGCUAUUGGCAGUGUCCGGCUGCGGCUGAGCCGUCCGCUGCUGCUGGUGGCGAGGGGCGGCGGCGCUGCCUUUCCCUGCCGCUGUUCCUGACGAAGCGCCCGAUAGCAGAUCCUGCAGCUGCUGCAGCAGGUAGGCCUCCUGAGUGGAAGGCGUCCGCAGACCGUACCACUCCCAGUACGGCACACACAGCAGGCCGCCCUCCCCAAACGCCCGCCGCAGCUGCCGGUUGCGCAGGGCCGUGGACCCGAUUACCGCGGACGGGUCGUCCUUCCGGUGGGUGAGGAAGUGGUCUGGACCGUCCACCUCAAUGGCCACUCUCCGCCCGUCGCUCCAGUCCGCCACCAUAUCCACGAGCCCCAGCACGCCCUCCACUACCACCUCCAUCCGCACCGAAACGAUGGGCAGGCGACCCUUCUGCAGCAGUCGCUGAAGCGCCUCUGCCACCUGCUCCUGCGUACUGCUGGUGGUCGACCCCGUCGCCCGCUUGGCAGAUACCGCCGCCUCCAUCGCGGCUAGCAGGUCGGGGCUGCGGGCAAGAGCCUCCGCCACCUCGCCGCCCAGCUCAUGUUGCGCCUGCCAGAGCUGACGCAACUCCUCGGUCUGAAACUCCUCACGGCGCCGCACGGCCUCACGGACAAGCGCCGGGGCCAGCGCAGAGGCAGCCGGGCUAGCAGGGACACCGCCGCCUGCCAGCACCGCCAGCGCCCACAGGCUGUUGCAAAGGGCCUGUGCAACGAGCGACUCCGGCUCUCGCUGCAGCAGCUCGCCCAGCCGGCCGCACACCGCCGCCUCCAAGCCGGCGUUACGCAGCUGCAGCACCGCCAGCGCCCACAGCGUGUUUGCACACUCCUGUGCUUUGCCUCGCUGCAUCGCCGCUGCCGCGCCUGCGUCAAGCAGCGCGGGCGGCGGCUGGUGGCGCACCAAUGCCAGCGCGUACAGCAGGUUGGCCCAAUGCUGCGGCUUGGCGCUGGCCAUGACCCCGGGCCGCUGAGCUGCUGCCACCGCGGCCGCGUACCAGGGGCACUGCUCCAUGGCUUUCGGCGUUGCACCGGCCCCAUACCCCAUCUUGGCCAGGGCCCACGCCGAGUUGCUGAGCUCCUGUGGGUUACAGCCGGCAAAGCCCCGCCGCAUGGCCUCCACUGCUACUGCAGCCGCCAGCCGCUCGGACUGCUUGCCUCCCAGCUGCAGCCCCUCCAGCGCCAGCAGGAUGUUGGACAGGUGCUGCGGCUUGAAUGCUUCAGCUUCCUUCGGUGUUCGCAGCUGCCGCAGCGCCGCACCGUACAGCGUCUCCAGCCCUGCCCGAAAUGCCGGUCCGGUGCAGCCAAGGACCUCUAGCGCCCACAGGCUGUUGGCCAGGCCUUGCGCAUUCAUGUCCGGGGCAAGGGCUGCGGCCGCCUCCGCCAACGGCCGCAGAAGGUCUGAGUCGCGGUACCCCAGCUUGGCACACGCCCACAGGCUGUUAGAAACGUCCUGGGCAUUGAAGCCGUGCCCCCUCGCCGCACGCAGCCGCGAGGCCACAGCGCUCGCCAGCGCUUUCAGAUGCGGCGAUGAGGUGGGAUCCCAGCCCGAGCCCCGCCGCUGCUGAUCCUCCCGCAGCUUGCCCAGGGCAUACAGUGCGUUCGCCAGGUCUAUAGGAAUGGCACUGUCCAGCAACACUGGAUCCACCAGCCGCUGCAGCAGUGCCGGCGCCAGCUGUGACUCCACACGCCCGUCGCUGGCAGCCCCGGCCUUCGCCAGAGCCCACAGCGGAAGGCUGCAGCUGGCCGGCUGGCGGAUGCGCGGCACGAGCGGAAGGAGAGCAGGCGCAAGGGCCGCAAUGAUGCCGGCGCGGGCCGCGGCUGUGGCGGUGGGCCCGCCGGCGCGUGCGGGCUCCAGCUGCAGGGGGGGCGGGGGGGGGGGGGGGGGCAGUGGGAAAGGACGAUGCCCCGAUCACUCACUGUGGCGGUGAAAAGCAAGCUUGGAUCAGCCCCACCGUCAUCAUGCAACGCGUCCCUAAGCACUACCGCGCGAGCUUUGGUAAGUGCUAAGGAGGUGCGUGUGUUGUUGGCGUUGUCAGUGCCCGCACUGCAAUGCAGGAAGGCCCGCACGUGCUUGCAGGCAAGCCCGACCCCUGCCCCUGCCCCUCCUCCUGUCAUUGCCCGCUAGCUAGUCCAGCCUCUUACCUUGCCACAACGGCCGAAGGCAGCUGACAUGGCGAUCACGUCUUGCCGCUCGCACCACACCGCCAGCCGCUGAUCAAUGACUCCUUGCAGCUGCUCCAGAGUCCGACACACGGUCAUGUCAUCCGCGGGGUCACGCGCCCUUCUUCCGCCGCCACUCCUGUCACCGGCACCGCCCGUCCUGCCGCCAGCCCAACGGCCUCCGCCUGCCCUACCUCCGCCUGCCCUCCCCCCAGCGUCACUGCUACUGCGGCUGCUGCCGAUGCCGCCAUGUCCGCUGCUGCUGCUCCUGUCUAUGCUCCUGUGACUGGUGCCGCCACUGCCGUACCUCCCCCCAGCCGCCAGCACCUGCUGCUGCGCGCGCCGCCCCGGCUGUAGGAGACAGCUGCGCGCCCCGGCUGCUGCAGGUGCGGCAGGGGCGGGCGCUGGUGCAGCUUGACGGGCCCAGGCGGCUAGCGGCAGUAGCUGCCGCAGACCGCCGCCAGCCCCGGUGGCAGCAGGUGCGGUGGCGGGAAGGAGGGGGCCGCCUUCGCUGAGCACUGCCGCCGCCGGGCCGCUGGUUGCGGAGCUGCACGCCAGGCCGCGGGCCACACCGCCGGCGGUCGCCGAGGGGNNNNNNNNNNNNNNNNNNNNNNNNNNNNNNNNNNNNNNNNNNNNNNNNNNNNNNNNNNNNNNNNNNNNNNNNNNNNNNNNNNNNNNNNNNNNNNNNNNNNAGCCCCGCCGCAUGGCCUCCACUGCUACUGCAGCCGCCAGCCGCUCGGACUGCUUGCCUCCCGAGCGGCAGCCCCUCCAGCGCCAGCAGGAUGUUGGACAGGUGCUGCGGCUUGAAUGCUUCAGCUUCCUUCGGUGUUCGCAGCUGCCGCAGCGCCGCACCACACAGCGUCUCCAGCACUGCCCGAAACGCCGGUCCGGUGCAGCCAAGGACCUCUAGCGCCCACAGGCUGUUGGCCAGGCCUUGCGCAUUCAUGUCCGGGGCAAGGGCUGCGGCCGCCUCCGCCAACGGCCGCAGAAGGUCUGAGUCGCGGUACCCCAGCUUGGCGCACGCCCACAGGCUGUUAGAAACAUGUUGCGGCUCAAAGCCAUGCCCGCUCGCCGCGCGCAGCCACGAGGCCACAGCGCUCGCCAGUGCGUUCAGGUGCGGCGAUGAGGUGGGGUCCCAGCCCGAGCCCCGCUGCUGCUGGUCCUCCCGCAGCUUGCCCAGGGCAUACAGUGCGUUCGCCAGGGCCUGGGGAGUGGCACUGUCCAGCAACACUGGAUCCACCAGCCGCUGCAGCAGUGCCGGCGCCAGCUCUGACUCCACACGCCCGUCGAUGGCAGCCCCGGCCUUCGCCAGUGCCCACAGCGGAAGGCUGCAGCCGGCCGGCUGGCGGAUGCGCGGCACGAGCGGAAGGAGAGCAGGCGCAAGGGCCGCAAUGAUGCCAGCACGGGCCGCGGCUGUGGCGGCGGGCCCGCUGGCGUGUGCGGACUCCAGCUGCAGGGGAGGGAGGGGGCCGGUGGGAAAGGACGAUACCUCGAUCACUCACUGUGGCGGUGAAAAGGAAGCUUGGAUCAGCCCCAUCGUCAUCAUGCAACGCGUCCCUAAGCACUACCGCGCGAGCUUGGUAAGUGCUAAGGAGGUGCGUGUGUUGUUGGCGUUGUCAGUGCCCGCACUGCAAUGCAGGAAGGCCCGCACGUGCUUGCAGGCAAGCCCGACCCCUGCCCCUGCCCCUCCUCCUGUCAUUGCCCGCUAGCUAGUCCAGCCUCUUACCUUGCCACAACGGCCGAAGGCAGCUGACAUGGCGAUCACGUCUUGCCGCUCGCACCACACCGCCAGCCGCUGAUCAAUGACUCCUUGCAGCUGCUCCAGAGUCCGACACACGGUCAUGUCAUCCGCGGGGUCACGCGCCCUUCUUCCGCCGCCACUCCUGUCACCGGCACCGCCCGUCCUGCCGCCAGCCCAACGGCCUCCGCCUGCCCUACCUCCGCCUGCCCUCCCCCCAGCGUCACUGCUACUGCGGCUGCUGCCGAUGCCGCCAUGUCCGCUGCUGCUGCUCCUGUCUAUGCUCCUGUGACUGGUGCCGCCACUGCCGUACCUCCCCCCAGCCGCCAGCACCUGCUGCUGCGCGCGCCGCCCCGGCUGUAGGAGACAGCUGCGCGCCCCGGCUGCUGCAGGUGCGGCAGGGGCGGGCGCUGGUGCAGCUUGACGGGCCCAGGCGGCUAGCGGCAGUAGCUGCCGCAGACCGCCGCCAGCCCCGGUGGCAGCAGGUGCGGUGGCGGGAAGGAGGGGGCCGCCUUCGCUGAGCACUGCCGCCGCCGGGCCGCUGGUUGCGGAGCUGCACGCCAGGCCGCGGGCCACACCGCCGGCGGUCGCCGAGGGGCCGAGGCGCCCGGCGGUCCGAGCGGCGCGAGGCUGGGUCAGCGGUAUGCCGCAUGGGCCCACCCUAUGCCAUGUGCGUGCUGACGCUGGAGCAUUAUAGCUACUGCCUAAGCCAUGUCUACUCGCUGCGGUGCCGCGUCCGGACUGUAACAUUUUAGGCUCAGCAGGCUGAGGCCCACAGUGCCUUAUAGUAUGUAAGUGCUAACUGAUACUAUACAUGGAAGUAUAGACACAAUGAUCGGACUAAAGGAACAACGGGCCAGUCUGGUGCGCGGGCAAAUGAAGCUCUGUUAAACAAACUCUGACAAACAAGGGCACAAGGGCUUUUUGUAUAACGAUGUAUAAGCUGAGGAUUCAGCUGUGAGACUGAAUCCGCGGCUUGGCUCGCCAGCAUGUGCCCUCGCUCCGUACCAAGGCGACGCCUGGGGUGGCGGCAUGGCGCGGCUGACGUGCCCUUGCUGACCCUUUCGGUGAAGCAGGCAACCCAGCUUCAACUUGCGCCUGCGUACGACGCGCUCCGCGUGCGUCACUUGGCCUUCAUCCAAGAGGCCUACAGCGGCGCCGCGCCGCCAGCGGAAGCGAUUCAUGCGCUGCGGGCGGCCCUGGCGCGGCUGUGGGCUUUGGUGUGGGAGCCGCGACACAAGGAACCGCUCUGGCGUCUGGCAGUCAAUGGGUUCACGGGCUUUGGGAUGCUUGCGGCGUGGGCCGCAGAUGGACGCGUGGCGAAAUGCCCGUGUGGGACUCAGAUGACUGCUGGGGCUAGGGUUCAUCACUUCUGGGACUGUGUGGUGGCGGAAGCUCUGCGUGCUUUGAUGCGGGAGCGUGCGAAUGUGGACAUCACACGGAACCAGUUGUGGUUAGUACAGGCGCCACCAGGGCUAUCGCAGGCGGUGUGGGACAUCGUGUGCUUGGCUGCUGUGGCGGCCCUGGAAUACGGCCGACAGCAUUCUCGCGCCUGACAAUGAAGCGCAGUUACACGCCUCGUUCAUACGCUGCACUCGCUCUCGCGCCCUGGGACUAAGAUCACGUAUAGAAAAAGCUAUGAUCAUUCCGUGAUGCCAAUGCGUUGGGCCGAAAUCGCGCUGUCCGCGACGACGCAUAGGAUGCGUCACACUUUCCAGAGGACCCGUAGAUAGCUGUGCGGACUUCUGGUCACGGCUGGCUGCAGACCGGACUGCGGAGGCGGCUGUUGUGCGAAGGAUAGGUGUGGAGGUGAUUGCGGACUUCUGGUCACGGCUAGCUGCGUUUGUGAGUCUGCGUCGGCCUCCGCGCCGCUGGGACCUUGUCCCGAACCAGCACCCAUUCCUAGCGUCAGAUGAUGUUGGAGGGGUUAUCUUGGUAGGGCCAACAGCGGACUCGCCACCGGCCUCACCCUAGCUUGUCAGCUUAGGGACUCGCAAGAGGUAGUCUUAUGACGCCGACCCACGGCUUAGGUGAGCAGCGCUAGCGUUUGUGGUGAGCCGGGCCUGGGGUUCCUCCCCUCUCCGGAGGCGAGGAGCAUGGGGGUCAUUCGGGGAUCUCUCCUCGGGUGAGCGUGCGUGUCUCGUACGUUUUUGGGGCCCUGGCUUAGUCCACGGCUGUCGUCCCACAUGUAACCUCUAUCAGCUACGCACACGGCCCCGCUGGUGCCCCAGGCUAUCAGCGCCGCCCCUUCCGCCCCAGGCCUGCACCCGAUUCCCAUUACAGAUUCACUCCAUUAGAAGCAGCAGAUAGGAUUGCAUUGGAACGGCCCGAUGGCCAGGGCCGAGGUCGCUUUAUGCUCAUGAACUUGAUGUUAGCCUCGUGCUGGCUGUGCUGCCUCCACACAUCAGGAAGAAUACCGAUGGGCGUGAACCCCACCACAGACAUGCUGCACGUCGUAUUGCCAGCCAACCGGGCCCAGCCAUGGCCUGCUACACGCGCUGCAACCCCCGAAUUCCACCUCUGCCUCCGCCCCUUCCUUAACCUGUCCCCCACCGUCACGCCUGCUCGCCACGUCAGCCGCCACCAACACAGUGACACACACACGCCCCGGGCCACGGCCACUGCCACCGCUGACCCGUGGCCCUGCGCACCUACACACCAAACACAACACAUACAGCAUGCCACAAACUUGGCGCAUUUGACGCACCGUGUGUGCACGUGUCAAUACCUAGCUGGUAUGUGUGCGCUAACUCCACUCAUGCCACGCCCAUCACUGCACCCCGUGUAUGGCCGCCCCUGGGCCCCACGGCCGCUCACCUGCCUGACGGUCACCACAGAUGCCUACCGAACUGGGCACCGCACCAAACACACGCCACACAAAAGCCCAAAGCCCGUCGUGGCGCGCCCUAGCAUGUUGCUCUCAGUGCUCCAUAUACACACACGUAUGCUUGGCCCGGGCACAAGGAGUAACGGAACGCAAAUCACAAGACGUGUGCAUGUUUGUGUUGCAACCACUAACCCAGGUCACUGCUCCGCCCCCUUUCGUUCACUCGCUGCUGCACGGCUUCUGUGCCGCGCGCCUGCCGGUCCCCACCGCCUGCCCCCGCCUGCUGCCCGCGAGCAGGCCCCCGCCGCUGCCACUACCAUCACCACCACCACAUUCUACAGCUGCUGCCGACGAGUCCGCCUCCCCGGCCACCACCAACAAUCGCUUCGCAGAGACCGCGGCUGGCACCAACACCGCCCCGGGGUCACUGCCGCCGCCGCCGCCGCCGCCGCCUGCUGCCGGAGCCGCCGCCGCUUUCCGCUCAGUCCGCUUCCCACCCGCGGCCCGCCUGGGUGGCGCUGCCGCCUGCACCUGCUCCGGCGGCGGGGCCUCAACCGGUGGAGCAGGAGAAGGCGAGCCCGCCUGGCUGCUACGGCUUUGAAUUUGGCUGCUGCUGCGGCGCGCCCGGGGCGCUGACACGCGCUGCUGCUGUGGUGGUGGAGGCUGCGGCGCCAGAGGAGUUCCGUUUCCUCCGCCCUCGCCAGCACCGCCACCAGCGCCACUGCUGGGAAGCCGCUGCGCCUUUUCCGCUGAUUGCUGCCGGGCAGGGGCCACCACCUCAGCCUCCGCCGGUACCGUCCUUGCAGCUGCUGUUGCGCCCGAGGCCUCUCCCGCCCCACCGCCGCCGGCCGCCUCCUGCUUUGGAGCCUUUCUGCGGACAACGAGGAUGCGUCGUUUCUGGCUGCUGCUAGCUGUAGUGGUGGUGGUGGCGGUGGUGCUGCUAUUGGCAGUGUCCGGCUGCGGCUGAGCCGUCCGCUGCUGCUGGUGGCGAGGGGCGGCGGCGCUGCCUUUCCCUGCCGCUGUUCAUGACGAAGCGCCCGAUAGCAGAUCCUGCAGCUGCUGCAGCAGGUAGGCCUCCUGAGUGGAAGGCGUCCGCAGACCGUACCACUCCCAGUACGGCACACACAGCAGGCCGCCCUCCCCAAACGCCCGCCGCAGCUGCCGGUUGCGCAGGGCCGUGGACCCGAUUACCGCGGACGGGUCGUCCUUCCGGUGGGUGAGAAAGUGGUCUGGACCGUCCACCUCAAUGGCCACUCUCCGCCCGUCGCUCCAGUCCGCCACAAUAUCCACACGCCCCAGCACGCCCUCCACUACCACCUCCAUCCGCACCGAAACGAUGGGCAGGCGACCCUUCUGCAGCAGUCGCUGAAGCGCCUCUGCCACCUGCUCCUGCGUACUGCUGGUGGUCGACCCCGUCGCCCGCUUGGCAGAUACCGCCGCCUCCAUCGCGGCUAGCAGGUCGGGGCUGCGGGCAAGAGCCUCCGCCACCUCGCCGCCCAACUCAUGUUGCGCCUGCCAGAGCUGACGCAACUCCUCGGUCUGAAACUCCUCACGGCGCCGCACGGCCUCACGGACAAGCGCCGGGGCCAGCGCAGAGGCAGCCGGGCUAGCAGGGACACCGCCGCCUGCCAGCACCGCCAGCGCCCACAGGCUGUUGCAAAGGGCCUGUGCAACGAGCGACUCCGGCUCUCGCUGCAGCAGCUCGCCCAGCCGGCCGCACACCGCCGCCUCCAAGCCGGCGUUACGCAGCUGCAGCACCGCCAGCGCCCACAGCGUGUUUGCACACUCCUGUGCUUUGCCUCGCUGCAUCGCCGCUGCCGCGCCUGCGUCAAGCAACGCGGGCGGCGGCUGGUGGCGCACCAAUGCCAGCGCGUACAGCAGGUUGGCCCAGGCCUGCGGCUUGGCGCUGGCCAUGACCCCGGGCCGCUGAGCUGCUGCCACCGCGGCCGCGUACCAGGGGCACUGCUCCAUGGCUUUCGGCGUUGCACCGGCCCCAUACCCCAUCUUGGCCAGGGCCCACGCCGAGUUGCUGAGCUCCUGUGGGUUACAGCCGGCAAAGCCCCGCCGCAUGGCCUCCACUGCUACUGCAGCCGCCAGCCGCUCGGACUGCUUGCCUCCCAGCUGCAGCCCCUCCAGCGCCAGCAGGAUGUUGGACAGGUGCUGCGGCUUGAAUGCUUCAGCUUCCUUCGGUGUUCGCAGCUGCCGCAGCGCCGCACCACACAGCGUCUCCAGCACUGCCCGAAACGCCGGUCCGGUGCAGCCAAGGACCUCUAGCGCCCACAGGCUGUUGGCCAGGCC
rnacentral:lncRNA from 1 species